GCAGCAGGAGGGUGGACUAGGAGGGUUGACAUCCAGCUUCAGCAUCAGACUGAACUACGCGAAGAUAUUUAUUGAGCUGCUACUAUGUGCCAUGGAUGCCAGGAAGAGAGCAAGGAACAAGUAGGCAAAAACCCUGGGCCUCAUGGAACUCGUGUCCUAACGGAGCCGAGGCAGGCAGACAAUAAAUAACGAAUUACACACGGAAAACCUAGGGAGCCAUGUUUGGAGAAGGAAGAACAGGUGAUUCAUAUUAGAGUGUAAGGAGCCUCCUUUCCACCCGCUGUCUACCGCUCCUUAACCCAGGGGGGCCUUUCACCUCCGCACCCCACCCCCACUAGUGCCCACCCCCAGGGGAUUUGGUGAACCCUCCCACCAGGCCCCUUACCUUCUCU